rnacentral:rRNA from 14 species
CUCGUGUCGUGAGAUGUUGGGUUAAGUCCCGUAACGAGCGCAACCCUUGUCCUUAGUUACCAGCACGUAAUGGUGGGCACUCUAAGGAGACUGCCGGUGACAAACCGGAGGAAGGUGGGGACGACGUCAAAUCAUCAUGCCCCUUAUGUCUUGGGCUUCACGCAUGCUACAAUGGCCGGUACAAAGGGCUGCGAUACCGCGAGGUGGAGCGAAUCCCAAAAAGCCGGUCUCAGUUCGGAUUGGGGUCUGCAACUCGACCCCAUGAAGUCGGAGUCGCUAGUAAUCGCAGAUCAGCAACGCUGCGGUGAAUACGUUCCCGGGCCUUGUACACACCGCCCGUCACGUCAUGAAAGUUGGUAACACCCGAAGCCAGUGGCCCAAACGUGUUAGGGAGCUGUCGAAGGUGGGAUCGGCGAUUGGGACGAAGUCGUAACAAGGUAGCCGUACCGGAAGGUGCGGCUGGAUCACCUCCUU